GACGAACGCUGGCGGCGUGCUUAACACAUGCAAGUCGAACGGAAAGGCCCUGCUUUUGUGGGGUGCUCGAGUGGCGAACGGGUGAGUAACACGUGAGUAACCUGCCCUUGACUUUGGGAUAACUUCAGGAAGCUGGGGCUAAUACCGGAUAGGAGCUCCUGCUGCAUGGUGGGGGUUGGAAAGUUUCGGCGGUUGGGGAUGGACUCGCGGCUUAUCAGCUUGUUGGUGGGGUAGUGGCUUACCAAGGCUUUGACGGGUAGCCGGCCUGAGAGGGUGACCGGCCACAUUGGGACAGAGAUACGGCCCAGACUCCUACGGGAGGCAGCAGUGGGGAAUAUUGCACAAUGGGCGGAAGCCUGAUGCAGCAACGCCGCGUGCGGGAUGACGGCCUUCGGGUUGUAAACCGCUUUCGCCUGUGACGAAGCGUGAGUGACGGUAAUGGGUAAAGAAGCACCGGCUAACUACGUG
rnacentral:rRNA from 1 species